UACGUAGGGCGCGAGCGUUGUCCGGAAUUAUUGGGCGUAAAGAGCUCGUAGGCGGCUUGUGCGUCCGCUGUGAAAACUCCAGGGCUCAACCCUGGCGCUGCAGUGGAUACGGGCAUCACUUGAGUUCGGCAGGGGAGACUGGAAUUCCUGGUGUAGCGGUGAAAUGCGCAGAUAUCAGGAGGAACACCGGUGGCGAAGGCGGGUCUCUGGGCCGAUACUGACGCUGAGGAGCGAAAGCGUGGGGAGCGAACAGG
rnacentral:rRNA from 1 species